GACGAACGCUGGCGGCGUGCUUAACACAUGCAAGUCGAACGGAAGGGCCCUGCUUUUGUGGGGUGCUCGAGUGGCGAACGGGUGAGUAACACGUGAGUAACCUGCCCUUGACUUUGGGAUAACUUCAGGAAACUGGGGCUAAUACCGGAUAGGAGCUCCUGCUGCAUGGUGGGGGUUGGAAAGUUUCGGCGGUUGGGGAUGGACUCGCGGCUUAUCAGCUUGUUGGUGGGGUAGUGGCUUACCAAGGCUUUGACGGGUAGCCGGCCUGAGAGGGUGACCGGCCACAUUGGGACUGAGAUACGGCCCAGACUCCUACGGGAGGCAGCAGUGGGGAAUAUUGCACAAUGGGCGGAUGCCUGAUGCAGCAACGCCGCGUGCGGGAUGACGGCCUUCGGGUUGUAAACCGCUUUCGCCUGUGACGAAGCGUGAGUGACGGUAAUGGGUAAAGAAGCACCGGCUAACUACGUG
rnacentral:rRNA from 1 species